GCUCCAAUGGUGAAAUUGGCAGACACGCCAGACUUAGGAUCUGGUGCCGCAAGGCGUGGGGGUUCAAGUCCCUCUUGGAGCACCA
rnacentral:tRNA from 1 species